rnacentral:rRNA from 1 species
AACGAACGCUGGCGGCAGGCCUAACACAUGCAAGUCGAGCGAGGACUUCGGUCCUAGCGGCGGACGGGUGAGUAACGCGUGGGAACGUGCCCUUUGCUUCGGAAUAGCCCUGGGAAACUGGGAGUAAUACCGGAUGAGCCCUUUGGGGGAAAGAUUUAUCGGCGAAGGAUCGGCCCGCGUUGGAUUAGGUAGUUGGUGGGGUAAUGGCCUACCAAGCCGACGAUCCAUAGCUGGUUUGAGAGGAUGAUCAGCCACACUGGGACUGAGACACGGCCCAGACUCCUACGGGAGGCAGCAGUGGGGAAUCUUAGACAAUGGGGGAAACCCUGAUCUAGCCAUGCCGCGUGAGCGAUGAAGGCCUUAGGGUUGUAAAGCUCUUUCAGCUGGGAAGAUAACGACGGUACCAGCAGAAGAAGCCCCGGCUAACUCCGUG